rnacentral:rRNA from 1 species
GGACGGGUGAGUAACACGUGGGUAACCUGCCCUCCUUGUGGGGGAUAACAUUUGGAAACAGAUGCUAAUACCGCAUAGAUCCAAGAACCGCAUGGUUCUUGGCUGAAAGAUGGCGUAAGCUAUCGCUUUUGGAUGGACCCGCGGCGUAUUAGCUAGUUGGUGAGGUAAUGGCUCACCAAGGCGAUGAUACGUAGCCGAACUGAGAGGUUGAUCGGCCACAUUGGGACUGAGACACGGCCCAAACUCCUACGGGAGGCAGCAGUAGGGAAUCUUCCACAAUGGACGCAAGUCUGAUGGAGCAACGCCGCGUGAGUGAAGAAGGCUUUCGGGUCGUAAAACUCUGUUGUUGGAGAAGAAUGGUCGGCAGAGUAACUGUUGUCGGCGUGACGGUAUCCAACCAGAAAGCCGCGGCUAACUACGUGCCAGCAGCCGCGGUAAUACGUAGGUGGCAAGCGUUAUCCGGAUUUAUUGGGCGUAAAGCGAGCGCAGGCGGUUUUUUAAGUCUGAUGUGAAAGCCCUCGGCUUAACCGAGGAAGCGCAUCGGAAACUGGGAAACUUGAGUGCAGAAGAGGACAGUGGAACUCCAUGUGUAGCGGUGAAAUGCGUAGAUAUAUGGAAGAACACCAGUGGCGAAGGCGGCUGUCUGGUCUGUAACUGACGCUGAGGCUCGAAAGCAUGGGUAGCGAA